rnacentral:tRNA from 1 species
GUCAUCGUGGCGGAGUGGUUAAGGAGACAGACUCGAAAUCUGUUGGGCUCUGACCGCACAGGUUCGAAUCCUGUCGGCGACG